GUGAAUUGCAGAAUUCAGUGAAUCAUCGAAUCUUUGAACGCACAUUGCGCCCGCUGGUAUUCCGGCGGGCAUGCCUGUCCGAGCGUCAUUUCAACCCUCAGGCCCUGCCUGGUGUUGGGGUACCACUGCCGUGGGCCCCUAAAGUCAGCGGCGGGCACGGCCCGGAC
rnacentral:rRNA from 1 species